rnacentral:lncRNA from 1 species
UUAACUACGCCGUUACAUAAAAGAAUGUCGACUCAACAAGAAGACUAAUAAGAAGAGCGCAAAAUAUAGAAAGGGAGGGAGGGGAAGAUUCAUAUUCUUCGUCUUCAUCUUCAUCUUCAUCCUGAGAAGUUAUGGGAGCAGAAUUGGACACCCACACCCACACGAAGAAUGAAGAAGAAAGGGAUGCUCCUCCUCCUCCUCUGAUACUAGGCCUCCAACCUGCUGCUCUGGUGGACCACGUGGCCAGAGUCGAUUCCACUCUCCUCUCCCUAAUUCCCGGUGAGCCCGGUGGCUCCUUCCCGGUACCCUCCCUCCUUCUCCCCCGGGCUAUUAUACCCAGACGUUAAUUGUUUAGUUAUUUCUGGGAUUUUAAUGAAUUGGUUAAUCUGCUACGAAUUAUUAGCUUCUCCAUACUAAUGUUCAUUCUGCGUUCUCUGAGGUUAACACCGCCAACUUNNNNNNNNNNNNNNNNNNNNNNNNNNNNNNNNNNNNNNNNNNNNNNNNNNNNNNNNNNNNNNNNNNNNNNNNNNNNNNNNNNNNNNNNNNNNNNNNNNNNCUCUAACUCUUCCCCCUCUCUCUCUCUCAAAGCGAACAUGUUCCGAAUCAAAGCGAACCUGUUGCAAAUUGGAAGGUAAAAAGUCCUAUAAAGAGAACUUGUUGCAAAUCGGAACGUAAAGAUUAAUACUUGUUACCAUGGAGCAUAACAAUGGCCAGAGUAAUAUAGCUAGACCUGCAAAUUGUACACAUUAUUUCCAAGGAAGGACCUUUUAUUUUAUAUAGUCUUGAAAUAAACAAGGUCCUUUAUGUGACUAAGUGCUGAAAUCUGUAGCUUCCAUAAACGCACAUAAACAUGGAAACUAAAAUUUUUUAUUCCUUUGAUUUAAUCUUUUGUGCGGUACAUUGUUCUUUUGAUUUGCGAACAAGUGGGUAACACUUGGGGAGAGAAAAUAUCAACACUGAUAUUCACAAUCUACAAAGAAUCAACCUUUUUUAUACUUGUAAAUUGUAAAUUUAUACUUGUAAAUUGCUCCAUACUGCACACUACCAUAUAGUACUAUUUUUUUGGCAUGCUAUGAUACUUUCAUGCCAAUGACCAUGGCCUAAGCCUAACCACUGGCAUUCAAGUCUGACAUUCAUAAAUUUUAAAUGGAUAGAUUAUGAACCAACCUUUCAAAUGCACUGUACCAAUAAUAACCACUUUCUUUUCCAGAAAUUUGAAAACCCAGGCAAAGUAGCAACAAAAAACUUACCUUCAUUAUCAGUUGGUAACAAAAUUCUAUUUAUAUAGGUGAGCAAAUGAUGCAAGAAUUAGGGUAAGCCCCUGAUCCGGACUCUCCAAAUAGGAUACAUAAGCAGUGAAGAUUCUACAUUCACAUAAAUUUUGCUUUGUUAGAAACAUGUAUCUAAAUCUUUUAAUCCUAUUUGAAGAUGUUCCUCCCAUGUCAGCUAGUGAAAAAACUAAGUAUUUAGGUUGUGUAGAUGCUGUGCCGCUCUCCAUUCACUUUUUGGAGCCAGUGUUAUUGGUUCAAGCAAAGCAGAGUGUCCAAUGCAUAUAUACGCAUACCAUUUAUGAGUUGAGCCAGGACUGACAAUAAGAAAAAAAUUGAAAAUUUAGCAUCAACCGAACAAUGAAUUCUUAUAAUCAAGUAAAAAUAUCAAGGGAUUCACAUUAUCAGUAAAAAAAAUUGAAGAAUUGAAAAUUUCUAAAACUAUCACCAACAUGAUCAGGCAGCAAAUGAAGAAUUUAAGAACAGUCGGUUAUUCCUCAAACUACUUGAAGCAGUUCUGAGGACAGGAAACCGCAUGAACGUUGGCACUAAUCGUGGCGAUACAAGAGCUUUCAAACUUGAUACACUGUUGAAAUUAAUAGAUAUAAAGGGAACGAAUGGGAAGACCACCUUGCUCCACUUUGUGAUUCAAGAGAUCAUCAGGUCAGAAGGCAUAUAUAGUAAUAACUAACUAAUAACUUGUGCCAAUUGCCUUUGUUUUAAAGGACUCUAGUACGUCUUGUAUGAUACCAUAUCUAGUGUGCAACGGUUGAUGUUUUGCUGCUAUUGCUGUUUAUUUUUUAAAAAUGGUUGUUAAUUUGUUAUUCAUGUCUGGUUGGAUAUUUGUAAUGACUGGCUAGCACUACUUGUGAUGAUUGUUAAUUUGUAAUUGUUGGCUUCUAUUAUGGUUGGAUAUUUGUAAUGCCUAACUCUACUGUUUACUUGUUUUAUUAGAGAAGAACUGGUAUUUCCUCCCAAAAACAUACUCAUAUAAGUUAACACAGAUUAUAACUUAUGGCUCCAUGUUCAGUUUCCAAGAACAGCAGAUUAUCAUCACGGUUCAACACAUAAUAAGAAGUGUGAACCCAACUUCAGAAUGCAAAUAAGAUCAAUUUUCAUUUACCCAAAAACUCAAGUAAAUCAAACCUUCAUAACUUGGAAAGGAAAAAAUCACAUUUACUUAAUUGUUGAGACAAAUUUUCAAAUGGGUUUUUAACCCAAAACGUUUUAAACCGCGUGUUUUUUUCCUCUCAGUAUUCGCGUUGGUUUUUUUGCUUUUGUACGUUGCUGGUCCGUUCCUAUAGUCCGUUUCUGAAAGGGAUUCAUAUAUAAUAAUAAUAAUAAUAAUAAUAAUAAUAAUAAUUGAAAGAGAGAGAAUAAAAAAUGGAAAAAAAAUAGUUACCCAAACACAACCUUAAGAGAGCAUUUAUUUUUACAGUUUUACUGGUAUCCUUUUCUUAACUACGCCGCUACAUAGACAGGGUGGGAGCGAGGGAAGGAGGGGAAGAUUCAUAUUCUUCAUCUUCGUCUUCAUCCUGAGAAGUUAUGGGAGCAGAAUUGGACACCCACACCCACACGAAGAAUGAAGAAGAAAGGGUUGCUCCUCCUCCUCCUCUGAUACUAGGCCUCCAACCUGCUGCUCUGGUGGACCACGUGGCCAGAGUCGAUUCCACUCUCCUCUCCCUAAUUCCCGGUGAGCCCGGUGGCUCCUUCCCGGUACCCUCCCUCCUUCUCCCCCGGGCUAUUAUACCCAGACGUUAAUUGUUUAGUUAUUUCUGGGAUUUUAAUGAAUUGGUUAAUCUGCUACGAAUUAUUAGCUUCUCCAUACUAAUGUUCAUUCUGCGUUCUCUGAGGUUAAUACCGCCACCUUAAUCUUUCAGGGAAAUAAAUGCAGGAUCACAGUUUCUGUGUUUUCAGUUCUUUACUGUUUCUGGGGUUUUCCCCCACUGAGAUAUUUGGUGGUGGUUGUUGUUUCGCUCUUUACUUAAGACUAUAUUCAACCAUUACCAGAUUUUAUUAUGUUCUAGAAUUUGUUAUGUAGGAAUAAAU